rnacentral:rRNA from 1 species
AUUGAACGCUGGCGGCAGGCCUAACACAUGCAAGUCGAGCGGCAGCGGGAAAGUAGCUUGCUACUUUUGCCGGCGAGCGGCGGACGGGUGAGUAAUGCCUGGGGAUCUGCCCAGUCGAGGGGGAUAACAGUUGGAAACGACUGCUAAUACCGCAUACGCCCUACGGGGGAAAGGAGGGGACCUUCGGGCCUUUCGCGAUUGGAUGAACCCAGGUGGGAUUAGCUAGUUGGUGGGGUAAUGGCUCACCAAGGCGACGAUCCCUAGCUGGUCUGAGAGGAUGAUCAGCCACACUGGAACUGAGACACGGUCCAGACUCCUACGGGAGGCAGCAGUGGGGAAUAUUGCACAAUGGGGGAAACCCUGAUGCAGCCAUGCCGCGUGUGUGAAGAAGGCCUUCGGGUUGUAAAACACUUUCAGCGAGGAGGAAAAGUUGGCGCCUAAUACGUGUCAACUGUGACGUUACUCGCAGAAGAAGCACCGGCUAACUCCGUGCCAGCAGCCGCGGUAAUACGUAGGGAGCAAGCGUUGCUCGGAUUCACUGGGCGUAAAGGGCGUGUAGGCGGGAUUGCAAGUCAAAUGUGAAAUCCUUCGGCUCAACCGAAGAACCGCAUUUGAAACUGCAAUCCUUGAGAAUAGAUGAGGAGAGCGGAAUUCCCGGUGUAGGGGUGAAAUCUGUAGAUAUCGGGAGGAACACCAUUGGCGAAGGCGGCUCUCUAAUCUAUUUCUGACGCUGAGGCGCGAAAGCGUGGGGAGCAAACGGGAUUAGAUACCCCGGUAGUCCACGCCGUAAACGAUGAACACUAGGUGUUGGAAGGAUUAAACCUUUCAGUGCCGUAGCUAACGCGUUAAGUGUUCCGCCUGGGGACUACGCUCGCAAGGGUGAAACUCAAAGGAAUUGACGGGGGCCCGCACAAGCGGUGGAGCAUGUGGCUAAUUACGAUGGUACGCGAGGAACCUUACCAGGGCUUGACAUGCAUUUGACAGCUUCCGAAAGGAAGUCUCCCGUUGAGGGCAAAUGCACAGGUGCUGCAUGGCUGUCGUCAGCUCGUGCCGUGAGGUGUUGGGUUAAGUCCUGCAACGAGCGCAACCCCUAUCUUCUGUUGCCAGCGGGUAAUGCCGGGCACUCGGAAGAGACUGCCAGCGAUAAGCUGGAGGAAGGUGGGGACGACGUCAAGUCAUCAUGGCCCUUAUGUCCUGGGCUGCACACGUGCUACAAUGGCCACUACAAAGCGUUGCAACACCGCGAGGUGAAGCUAAUCGCUAAAAAGUGGUCUCAGUUCGGAUUGGAGGCUGCAACUCGCCUCCAUGAAGUCGGAAUCGCUAGUAAUCGCGCAUCAGCCACGGCGCGGUGAAUACGUUCCCGGGCCUUGUACACACCGCCCGUCACACCAUGGAAGCCGGUUAUAUCCGAAGUCAGUAGCUUAACCCGCAAGGGAGAGCACUGCCGAGGGUAUAAUUGGUGACUGUGGUG